AGUGAACGCUGGCGGUAGGCCUAACACAUGCAAGUCGAACGGCAGCACAGUAAGAGCUUGCUCUUACGGGUGGCGAGUGGCGGACGGGUGAGGAAUACAUCGGAAUCUACUUUUUCGUGGGGGAUAACGUAGGGAAACUUACGCUAAUACCGCAUACGACCUACGGGUGAAAGCAGGGGAUCUUCGGACCUUGCGCGUUUGAAUGAGCCGAUGUCGGAUUAGCUAGUUGGCGGGGUAAAGGCCCACCAAGGCGACGAUCCGUAGCUGGUCUGAGAGGAUGAUCAGCCACACUGGAACUGAGACACGGUCCAGAGUCCUACGGGAGGCAGCAGUGGGGAAUAUUGGACAAUGGGCGCAAGCAUGAUCCAGCAAUACCGCGUGGGUGAAGAAGGCCUUCGGGUUGUAAAGCCCUUUUGUUGGGAAAGAAAAGCAGCAGGUUAAUACCCCGCUGUUCUGACGGUACCCAAAGAAUAAGCACCGGCUAACUUCGUG
rnacentral:rRNA from 1 species